AUUGAACGCUGGCGGCAGGCCUAACACAUGCAAGUCGAGCGGAUGAAGGGAGCUUGCUCCUGGAUUCAGCGGCGGACGGGUGAGUAAUGCCUAGGAAUCUGCCUGGUAGUGGGGGAUAACGUCCGGAAACGGGCGUUAAUACCGCAUACGUCCUGAGGGAGAAAGUGGGGGAUCUUCGGACCUCACGCUAUCAGAUGAGCCUAGGUCGGAUUAGCUAGUUGGUGGGGUAAAGGCCUACCAAGGCGACGAUCCGUAACUGGUCUGAGAGGAUGAUCAGUCACACUGGAACUGAGACACGGUCCAGACUCCUACGGGAGGCAGCAGUGGGGAAUAUUGGACAAUGGGCGAUAGCCUGAUCCAGCCAUGCCGCGUGUGUGAAGAAGGUCUUCGGAUUGUAAAGCACUUUAAGUUGGGAGGAAGGGCAGUAAGUUAAUACCUUGCUGUUUUGACGUUACCAACAGAAUAAGCACCGGCUAACUUCGUG
rnacentral:rRNA from 1 species